UAUUUUCCUUUUUCGCAAUUUAAAUUAAAAAUUAAAAAUUUAGUUUGGGGAAAUAAAUAUUUUCCCAUGUAAAUUGCACUCACAGAGCCUGUGAUACAGAAUUUGGAAGAUAUUUUUUAAAGAUUUUAAAACUUUCUAACGUUGUGCAGCUAGAAGCUGGAAUUUCUGGUAUUAGCGAUAAACUAAAAUGUUGAAACAUUUCAAAUCAGAAUUUGUAAAAUAUGAAUGCUAAUUUCAUUAAAAUAUCAACUUUUUCCGCUCACUUGGUUUCUUUUUGUUCUUGGUAUCUUUUUAUUAGAAGUUAGAAUUUUUUCGGUUCAAAAGUCUUCGCUUAAAGGGCGUUCAACAAUAUGUUAAAAAUUGUGUGAUGGUGCUUUGUUAGUGAUAAUCGUUAGUUCAGAUUACCUUAUGCACAUUGGACAUAAUGUACACUCAGUCUACAUAUAAAAUUGUACACUGAGUGUACGCAAUUUUGUACAAUUACUGUACACAACAAUGUAUACUUAUUGUACACAUUGAUGUUCGCCAGAAUGUUACAUGAAAUGUAAACUUUAACUCACUUAGUUAGUUUUUAACAAAACUGGAAAAUAUGAUGAGAAUUAUUUAUAAGAACUCAACUUUGAAGAAAUUAAAUUUGGACCUCAAUU